UAAAAAGUGGGAACCUUAAAAUACGUGACAAGUAGUGGUAAAGAACUAUAAAGUCAAGUGAUACUAUAUAUUUGUGGAGUCUUAAAAUAAUUCAUAAAACUAAAUUUUUUAGGUUCUUAAAAUGCCUGUUAAACUCUCGUACUUCAAGGUAAACUAGCUAAGGGACAUAUAGAUGACUGUAUAUAAUGUUAUAGACACAUAUCAUAUCACCAUAAUAUUGCAGACUACCACUAU
rnacentral:lncRNA from 1 species